GUGGUACUACUGAUAAGAAGAGUUGAGAACAGAAUCAAUUUUCUUGUGAUAAUUUUUGAAUCUAAUAUUUUAUACAUAUGUAAAUAAUUACAUAUAUUAAAAAAUAUAAUUAUAAAAAAUAUUAUUAUUGACAGUUUACAUUAAUUGCUCGUAAAAUAAAUAAUAUAUAAAUUUAACUUUGUUCUAUUAUAUUCGGCUGUAAUCUAUUCAAUCAAUCGAAGACACGUUUUUGACAGUUCUUUUCAAUUAGCGGGUGAUUUAUUUAACUUAUAUAUAGAAUAAAAAGUAAAAAUAAAAAUAAAAUUAUUGAUAUUUCAAUACAAUAUUAUUAAGUCUUGUUUCUGAAAAUGUAUGUAAAUUUCUAUUUCAAAAUUGAAUAAAGAAUGAAGAAUGGUUAAGUCAAUAAUAUAUAGGUUAAACAUGAAUCUUUUAAAGUGAUUCUAUUAUUAAAAGUAAUAAAAAAAAUGGAUAACGUUUCGACUGCAGAGUGUUUAACUCUUGAUUUUGGUCCCUUCGAAACUGUUCAUCGUUGGCAACGUAUGCCAGAAUGCGACGAAUUCGUUGGUGCUAGGCGUAGCAAACAUACUGUUGUAGCCUAUAAAGAUGCAAUCUAUGUGUUUGGUGGUGAUAAUGGUAAAAGAAUGUUAAAUGAUUUGUUGAGAUUUGAUGUGAAAGAAAAAUCUUGGGGACGUGCAUUUGCAACAGGAGCACCUCCUGCCCCAAGAUAUCAUCAUUCUGCAGUUGUGCAUGAUUCUUCUAUGUUUGUAUUUGGUGGUUAUACUGGUGAUAUACAUUCCAAUUCAAAUCUCACCAAUAAAAAUGAUUUAUUUGAGUACCGAUUCCAAACUGGUCAAUGGACAGAAUGGAAAUUUAUUGGGAAAACACCUGUAGCUAGAUCUGCACAUGGAGCUGCUGUAUAUGAUAAUAAAUUAUGGAUAUUUGCUGGCUAUGAUGGCAAUGCAAGAUUGAAUGAUAUGUGGACUAUAUCAUUAUUACCUGGAGAAUUAAGAGUAUGGGAAGAAGUUGAUCAAUCUGGUGAUUGUCCACCAACAUGUUGCAAUUUUCCUGUUGCUGUAGCACGUGAAUCUAUGUUCGUAUUUAGUGGCCAGAGUGGAGCUAAAAUUACAAAUAGUCUCUUUCAAUUUCACUUUCGAGAAAAACGAUGGACGCGAAUUUCAACGGAACAUAUACUUCGUGGUGCACCACCUCCGCCAGCACGACGAUAUGGUCAUACUAUGGUCAGCUUUGAUAGAUAUCUUUAUGUAUUUGGCGGAGCAGCUGAUUCUACGCUGCCAAAUGAUCUUCAUUGUUAUGAUCUUGAUACACAAACAUGGAAUAUUAUUUUGCCAUCUGCUGAUAGUCAGGUUCCAUCUGGUCGUCUGUUUCACGCAGCAGCAGUAAUUGGAGAAGCGAUGUUUAUUUUUGGCGGAACAGUUGACAAUAAUGUACGAUCUGGAGAGACAUAUCGAUUUCAAUUUUCGUCGUAUCCAAAAUGUACUUUGCAUGACGAUUUCGGAAGAUUGUUAAGCGGGCGUCUUUUCUGUGAUGUAGAAUUUAUAGUAGGAGAUACUGAAACAAAAAUACCUGCUCAUAUAGCUAUGGUAGCAGCUCGUUCGCAAUUUCUUAGGACUCGUAUUAGACACGCUCGAGAAAAACGAGAUAAACAUAUGGAAGAAGUAUUUGGAACUGUCGAUAUACCGAUUAAAGAUAUGCCAUUAUUAGAGGUAAGACUGAAAGAUGCUGUGCCAGAAGCAUUUGAAAUGGUCCUAAACUAUAUUUACACCGAUCGUAUUGAUCCAACGAAAAAAAACGAAGAUGGAUCGAGCAGUCGUGUUGCUGAAGAUCCAUUAAGCAAUCGAAUUGUGCUUCUUAUGAUGGAUGUCUAUCGUUUAGCUUUACAGUUUAAUAUGAAAAGAUUAGAACAGUUGUGUGUCCAAUAUCUAAAAGCAACUAUAAGUCGUGCUAAUGUUUUGGAAGCAUUGCGUAACGCUGCUCAUUUAAAACUUUAUUUCAUAAAAGAGUUUUGUUUGAAUUUUAUCGUGAAAGAAAAUAAUUAUAAUCAAAUUGUAAUGAGUAAAGAAUUUGAGACUUUGGAUCAACCUUUAAUGGUGGAAAUUAUUAGAAAAAGACAAAUGCCUCAAAAAGGUGCAUUUCCUAGACAAUUUGAUCUUAAUGCAGGAACAACUUUGGAACAGGAUAUGGAAGCAUUUCUUAAAAGCGUUGGCAGAGAAUUUUGUGAUAUAACGCUCAUGUUAGAUGGUGUGCCAAUUCCAGCUCAUAAAGCUAUUCUUGCGGCACGAUGUAGCUAUUUCGAAGGAAUGUUCCGUUCUUUUAUGCCAGAAAAUAAUACUGUGAAUAUACAAAUCGGUGAAAUGAUCCCAUCUUCCGAAUCAUUUGAUUCUUUAUUGAGGUACAUUUAUUAUGCGGAUGUUUCGAUGCCACCUGAAGAUUCUUUGUAUUUAUUUACCGCACCAGUUUUUUAUGGUUUUACAAAUAAUCGAUUGCAAGCAUUUUGCAAACAAAAUCUCGAAAUGAAUGUUACUUUCGAAAAUGUUAUACAAAUCUUGGAAGCUGCGGAUAGAAUGCAAGCUGUUGAUAUGAAAAAAUAUGCAUUAAAUCUUAUCGUGCAUCAUUUUACAAAGGUUGCAAGGUUACCGAAGUUAAAACAAUUAAGUCGCGAACUUUUACUGGAUAUUCUGGAAGCAUUGGCCGAUGAACGUAGUGAAGCUCGAACAUGUCAAGACAUGGCGAAUGAUUGCUGACGGAUCUCGGGCUCACAUCGUCGUCCCCGUAGUUGGGAUUUGCCUUCGCCCUCGAGCUUUCAACCUGGAACUUUCCGAGAAUACGAGCAAGUAACAUCCUCCGUUCAAAAUCACAAUUGUACGUUCACAAACGACACGUGAAGUGUUAGUCACGGGGGAGAUUGUAAAAUAUUUUCAUCACGUGUAUAUUUUGUCGACAAUGUAUAAAAAAAAAAAAAAAAAGAAAAAGGAAAAAAAAAUACCCAUCGAUCCCCAGUGUUAUAAAUAUGUAUAUUAAACGUCUCGCAGUGUAAGAUAAUUUAUUGGAUAAAAGUAUAAGUUUGUACAGAAUACAUAUAUAUGUAUGUAUAUAUC